UACAAGUAUGGCUGUUGAACAUGGGUCCAGUAUGGAGAACUUUUCUGUAUUGACUAGUCUUAGACUUACUGUCAUUUAGACUUGGACUUGUCUCAGUCUGAGAUAAAUAUGGUCUUGAACUUGACUGAGAGUUUGUAUGGAUGGAUGUGGAUGGAUGGGCUCUGGAAUGGAUUUUGACUCUUCCUCACUUUUAUUUGGACUCGAACUUGACUUGGCCUGACAUGGUCUUAACUAAAUCCCGGACUUGGCAAUGGCGGUCUGAUUAAAGGGCUGCCCAGACGGAGACCCAGGACCUGCUGGAGAGUCUAAAUUUCACAGUUGGUUUGGAAAUGUUUAGGGAUGCCCCACGAGGAACUAGAAUCUGUAGCUGUUCUAGAAAAGUCUGGUCUGACCUUCUCAACCUGUUCCCCUGCAACCCCUACCAGGAAAAAUGGGUCACGGGGAGCCUGAAGCCUAUCCCAGGGAACUCGGGGCGUGAUUCGGGGGACACCCUGGACGGGGUGCUAUCUUAUCGCAAGGCACAAUCACACACAUUCACACGUUAGAGAUGGCAAUCAACCUACAACGCAUGUCUUUGGACUGGGGGAGGAAACCUGAGUACCCAGAAAAAACCCCCGAAGCACGGGGAGAACAUGCAAACUCUGCACGCACAGGGCGGAGACGGGAUUUGAAUUUUCAGCUUGGGUGCCCUUAAAUGGUCAAUUAGUGGUCUGCUGAGAGAACACUGGAGGUCAAGCUGAGUGUAACACUAGUGAGAUGUGAUGCACCGUCUCAGGACGCUGAUGCGCCGAUAUGCCGAGCUAUUGUACUGUCGGAGAAGAAGAUCGCAAGGAAAUGAUACUCCAUGCAUGGCCUACAUCGACCCGAUCUGAAGUCUUUUCCUGUCUGAGAAUUAACAAGAGGACUAUAAUCUUUUAAAAUGUUUUAAAUUAGUAUUGGGUCCGAGUCCACCUUUGUGGAGUUCGACUCGAGACCAAGUCGAGCCCGAGUCCAAAAGGGGCCGAGUUGGACUUAGGUCAGAGUCCUUAAAGGUCGAGUCUGAGUCCAAGUCCGAGUCCGGAUGAGUCCAGAAAGUAAUUAAAUUGAAAAACGAGUUGAAAUUGCAAUUGUAAACUUAACACUGAGCUGUUAAAUUAAUACAUUAACCUUCACAAACUAACGGCAACAUGAAUGUAACAAUAAAU
ensembl:lncRNA